UACGGAGGGUCCAAGCGUUAUCCGGAAUCAUUGGGUUUAAAGGGUCCGUAGGCGGGCAAUUAAGUCAGAGGUGAAAUCCCACAGCUCAACUGUGGAACUGCCUUUGAUACUGGUUGUCUUGAGUUAUAUUGAAGUGAGUAGAAUAUGUAGUGUAGCGGUGAAAUGCUUAGAUAUUACAUAGAAUACCGAUUGCGAAGGCAGCUCACUAAGUAUAUACUGACGCUGAUGGACGAAAGCGUGGGGAGCGAACAGGAUUAGAUACCCCCGUA
rnacentral:rRNA from 1 species